rnacentral:sRNA from 1 species
UAGAAGUGAUAAGACUAAAAAAUUUUCUGUUUCCAUCCCUAUAUGAAAAUAGUUUCUAAAAUUUAAGACAUCAUAGGCAGACCAGUUAUAUUCCAUAUAAUUGUGUGUGUGUGUGUGUGUGUGUGUGUGUGUUAGGUAUUGAGACUGAACGCAAUGCCUUCUAC